rnacentral:rRNA from 1 species
UGGCUCAGGACGAACGCUGGCGGCGUGCUUAACACAUGCAAGUCGAACGAGAAUUCGUGGAUAGAGGUUUCGGCCAAUUGAAGCGGAGGAAAGUGGCGGACGGGUGAGUAACGCGUGAGGAACCUGCCUUUCAGAGGGGGACAACAGUUGGAAACGACUGCUAAUACCGCAUGAUGCAUCGGAGUCGCAUGGCUCUUAUGCCAAAGAUUUAUCGCUGAAAGAUGGCCUCGCGUCUGAUUAGCUAGUUGGUGAGGUAACGGCCCACCAAGGCGACGAUCAGUAGCCGGACUGAGAGGUUGAACGGUCACAUUGGGACUGAGAUACGGCCCAGACUCCUACGGGAGGCAGCAGUGGGGAAUAUUGGGCAAUGGGCGCAAGCCUGACCCAGCAACGCCGCGUGAAGGAAGAAGGCUUUCGGGUUGUAAACUUCUUUUGUUGGGGACGAGUAGAAGACGGUACCUGACGAAUAAGCCACGGCUAACUACGUGCCAGCCGCCGC